UACGUAGGUGGCAAGCGUUGUCCGGAGUUACUGGGCGUAAAGGGCGUGUAGGCGGCCUUUUAAGUCAGACGUGAAACCCCUGGGCUUAACCCAGGAACUGCGUUUGAAACUAAAAGGCUUGAGGACCGGAGAGGGUAGUGGAAUUCCCAGUGUAGCGGUGAAAUGCGUAGAUAUUGGGAGGAACACCAGUGGCGAAGGCGACUGCCUGGACGGCCCCUGACGCUGAGGCGCGAAAGCUAGGGGAGCAAACGGG
rnacentral:rRNA from 1 species